ensembl:processed_transcript 1810053B23Rik RIKEN cDNA 1810053B23 gene
AGUGGAACCACAUGCUGAAAAAGAAAGAAACGGAGCUUGCUAAUGCAGGAGGAACACAUGGGCAUUGCCAGUGCCCUUAAGCAAAGUGGAUCAUCUCCAGACAUCGAAGGGCAUCAUUAUCACGGAUAAGAACACAGAUGCUGGGGCUGGAGAGAUGGCGCAGAGGUUAAGAGCUGGCACUAAUCUUUCAGAGGACUGGAGUUUGGUUCCCAUCCCCAUGUUGGGCAGAUCAUGACGACCUGUGACUACAGCUUCAGAGGGCCUAGAACCUUCUUCUGGAGACCCUGCAUGCUCUGCCUUCAUGUGCUCCUUCCCCUAAGACACAGACGCCUUCCUAACUGUCUCUGGUGACAACAGGACAGGAACAUCACAGCUGUUUAUGUGCUAUGAUUUCCUGUGUGUGCACACAGGAAUAAGACCCUCUUGCCUUGCCCACAAACCACUCUUCACUCUUGGGAUGACCUUGCUCCAGCUGGGAUCAGAAGUUCUAGAGCAUUCUGGAAGACAAAAUGGGUAGCAAGUACAGGAGAGAGCUCCCAACUUCAUCACCACCGGGAAAAUGCAAAAUGCAACCAUGAGAUGCCACCUCUCAAACAUAAGGAUGACGAAAUGCAGGAGUCAAGUGGGUGAAGCUGUGCCCUCUUACAGAAUUAGAUAAAGACAUUGUGAACACCGGGCGGGCGCGGGGGCUUCGUAGAAAGCUAAAAGUAGGAUUGCCGUAUGAUCCAGCAAGCUCACUUCUGGAUAGAGCAAAGGAAGUGAAGUCACAGACAACCGCUUUAUGCUUAUACGUUGCAGUGUUAUAAUUGGUAGCAAUUUGCCUGAGAUGUGCCAACUGAUCCAGAUGAAGAAAUCAGGCUACACACGUACAAUAGAAGGGAAUGUGCUUCAGCCUUGGAAGAGGCAGUCCUGACGUCUAUGAGUGAACAUGGAAGACAAAUGUGCCCCUCAGGGAAAGCGACACAUACAAGUUUGUCUAGAGAACUAGAAUAUUCUUUCUUGUGGAAAGAAAGGCCAUUUCCCACGAGAGCUGAUGACCAGGAUGCGAAAUGACAUCUGGUGACCGCGCAGCUGCGGAUUGUUGAAUCCAAAGCAAUAAAAGGAUCUAGAAAUGUGAGCCAGUACUCUUUAAAAUAAAAAUAAAAAUAAAACCAUUCUAUUAUAAUGAACUCACAAAUGAAACAUCACACAGCUAGGUUAAAAUAGACAGACUUGGGCCUCGUCCCCGACUCUGCCUUUUAAUGAGCUUUUCCACAGCUAGAAGGGUUUUCUGAGCCAGGGAGUGUCUCUUAGGGCUUUGCGCUUUUACAAUUAAUUACAUUUUUAUACAUGGGUAUACCACAAAAACCAGUCAAGAUAGAAAAAAUUAGCUCUCUUCGAGGACACAUGUGUCCUUUGCCUGGAUUCUGUCCCUUUGGUUGUCCUUUGUACAUGUUAUAUGUACCCAUAUGUACAUUCAUUUACACGUAUGGAUAUAUAUUAUAGUCUAGGAUCUUCAUAUGAGGGAGAUUUUUUUUUUUCUUUCUGAGAUUGGGUCACCUUGCUUAUAUAGAUUCUAAGUCCAUCCAUAUUUUUGCAAAUAAAUUUCCUUGCAUAUU